rnacentral:lncRNA from 1 species
GGGCAGGGCCCGGGAGGGGCCGGGCUGGCAUCGGCGGCCUCCAAUGGGGGCGAGCGGGGGCCGCCCGCGGGGCUCCGCGCAGCUCGGCGGCGGCUCGGCGGGGAGAAGGCGGCCGGAGGAGAGGACGGGAGCCGGGCGUCCGAGGAGCCGGGUGCGGACGCCCUGUGCGAGCCCAAGGUGAGCGAGGUUCCUCAGGAGCAAAAAACCUAGCAAAUAUCCAGUCGCUUAAUCUGCAAGAAGGAAUGAUACACGAAAGGCUGUGAAAAGUGAAGAAAUUUUGUGUUUUGUUUUUUUUUUUUUUUUUUUUUUUUUCUCUGUGGCAGGGUGAGAUGGAUCACACCAUCACGGACGGAGUAUUGAGAAAGCAGCUAGCUUGGAAAAUAUCAGCUGUAACCGAGCCAAAACUCCUCUUCCCCAUCGC